rnacentral:rRNA from 1 species
CGUACGAGAGAGUUUGAGUCCUGCGUCAGGACGACGCUGGCGGCGUGCUUAACACAUGCAAGUCGAACGGGCCUGCUCCUUGUGGGUGGGUUAGUGGCGAACGGGUGAGUAUCACGUGAGUAACCUGCCCCUGCUCCUGGAUAACGCUCUGAAAGGGGUGCUAAUACGGGGUGUGCUGGUGCUGCCGCAUGGUGGUGCCGGGAUAGGUUCCCUCCUUUGGGGGGUUCUGGUGGGGGAUGGGCUCGCGGCCUAUCAGCUUGUUGGUGGGGUGAUGGCCUACCAAGGCGGUGACGGGUAGCCGGCCUGAGAGGGUGGACGGCCACACUGGGACUGAGACACGGCCCAGACUCCUGCGGGAGGCAGCAGUGGGGGGUAUUGCGCAAUGGGCGGAAGCCUGACGCAGCGACGCCGCGUGAGGGACGGAGGCCUUCGGGUUGUGAACCUCUUUCGCCGGUGGAGAAGGCGCCCCCGUGUGGGGUGCUGACUGUAGCCGGAUAAGAAGCGCCGGCUAACUACGUG